GACGUAGGGCGCGAGCGUUGUCCGGAUUUAUUGGGCGUAAAGAGCUCGUAGGCGGCUUGUCGCGUCGUCCGUGAAAACCUGCGGCUCAACUGCAGGCUGGCGGUCGAUACGGGCAGGCUGGAGUUCGGUAGGGGAGACUGGAAUUCCUGGUGUAGCGGUGAAAUGCGCAGAUAUCAGGAGGAACACCGGUGGCGAAGGCGGGUCUCUAGGCCGAUACUGACGCUGAGGAGCGAAAGCGUGGGGAGCGAACAGG
rnacentral:rRNA from 1 species